GCCUACUGCAAGCAGAACCUGGAGAUGAACGUGACGGUGCAGAACGUGCUACAGAUCCUGGAGGCGGCGGACAAGACGCAGGCCCUGGACAUGAAGCGGCACUGCCUGCACAUCAUCGUGCACCAGUUCACCAAGGUUUCCAAGCUGCCCACGCUGCGCUCGCUGAGCCAGCAGCUGCUGCUGGACAUCAUAGGCUCCCUGGCCUCCCACAUCUCAGACAAGCAGUGCGCAGAGCUGGGCGCCGACAUCUGAGGCCCUGUGGCGCCUGCCCAUUGUGAAGAAUCGCCG
rnacentral:misc_RNA from 1 species